rnacentral:rRNA from 1 species
UACGGGGGGGGCAAGCAUUGUUCGGAAUUACUGGGCGUAAAGCGUGCGCAGGCGGUUCGUGAUGUCUGGUGUGAAAGCCCCGGGCUUAACCUGGGAAUUGCAUUGGAAACUAGCGGGCUGGAGUGUGGCAGAGGGGGGUGGAAUUCCACGUGUAGCAGUGAAAUGCGUAGAGAUGUGGAGGAACACCGAUGGCGAAGGCAGCCCCCUGGGCUAACACUGACGCUCAUGCACGAAAGCGUGGGGAGCAAACAGG